UACGUAGGCAGCGAGCGUUGUUCGGAAUUACUGGGCGUAAAGAGUGUGUAGGCGGUACUCUAAGUUCGGUGUGAAAUCUCCUGGCUCAACUGGGAGGGUGCGCCGGAAACUGGAGUGCUUGAGCGUGGGAGGGGAAAGCGGAAUUCCUGGUGUAGCGGUGAAAUGCGUAGAUAUCAGGAGGAACACCUGUGGUGUAGACGGCUUUCUGGACCAUAGCUGACGCUGAGACACGAAAGCGUGGGUAGCAAACAGG
rnacentral:rRNA from 1 species